rnacentral:rRNA from 1 species
AGUCGAACCGAUGAACUUCUUCGGGAGGGGAUUAGUGGCGAACGGGUGAGUAACACGUGGGCAAUCUGCCUGCACUCUGGGACAAGCCCUGGAAACGGGGUCUAAUACGGGAUACUGAUCAUCUUGGGCAUCUUUGGUGAUCGAAAGCUCGGGCGGUGCAGGAUGAGCCCGCGGCCUAUCAGCUUGUUGGUGAGGUAAUGGCUCACCAGGGCGACGACGGGUAGCCGGCUGAGAGGGCGACCGGCCACACUGGGACUGAGACACGGCCCAGACUCUACGGGAGGCAGCAGUGGGGAAUAUUGCACAAUGGGCGAAAGCCUGAUGCAGCGACGCCGCGUGAGGGAUGACGGCCUUCGGGUUGUAAACCUCUUUCAGCAGGGAAGAAGCGAAAGUGACGGUACCUGCAGAAGAAGCGCCGGCUAACUACGUGCCAGCAGCCGCGGUAAUACGUAGGGCGCGAGCGUUGUCCGGAAUUAUUGGGCGUAAAGAGCUCGUAGGCGGCUUGUCGCGUCGGUUGUGAAAGCCCGGGGCUUAACCCCGGGUCUGCAGUCGAUACGGGCAGGCUAGAGUUCGGUAGGGGAGAUCGGAAUUCCUGGUGUAGCGGUGAAAUGCGCAGAUAUCAGGAGGAACACCGGUGGCGAAGGCGGAUCUCUGGGCCGAUACUGACGCUGAGGAGCGAAAGCGUGGGGAGCGAACAGGAUUAGAUACCCUGGUAGUCCACGCCGUAAACGGUGGGCACUAGGUGUGGGCGACAUUCCACGUCGUCCGUGCCGCAGCUAACGCAUUAAGUGCCCCGCCUGGGGAGUACGGCCGCAAGGCUAAAACUCAAAGGAAUUGACGGGGGCCCGCACAAGCGGCGGAGCAUGUGGCUUAAUUCGACGCAACGCGAAGAACCUUACCAAGGCUUGACAUACACCGGUAAAACCCUGGAGACAGGGUCCCCCUUGUGGUCGGUGUACAGGUGGUGCAUGGC